rnacentral:lncRNA from 1 species
GGGUUAGGGGAUUAUCUGUCCUACCUAUCUGGGUAUAUUGCUGGGGACUCCUUAUAAUUCUGAUGCGGUUUGCGAUGAGGUUGUGAAAAGAUAUAUAAAGGAUUUGCUAAGUGGAAGAGGCAGUAUCUAUCUAAAGGAGGCAGAUUUCCUGAGUGGAAAAGUUGCAGAAGGAUAUUUUGUGGGGUGGAUUGAUAGAGAAGCAAAAAAAUUCAUUUGCUUAGAUGGGGUAUGUUUUGCUCCCUGAAAAGAGAAUCAAGUUUAGGAGUUAGAAGAGUAGAAAAAUGGCUGUAGCAUUAUGUGAUGGAGAGACUGACAUGUAUAUAUAUGGAGUGGGAUGGUUUGUGGAGAAGGUGUGUUGGUGAAGUAUGAAGAAAUGUCAGGUUUGGUGCUCAGGGAAUGUGAAGGGGUUAGUAUAAGUUGAAAAAAUUGCAACAUUUUUGACCAUAUACAAACUAUUCAUCAAUGGAAUACAAUAUAAUAGAACAUCAAAAUAGCAUACAAUGUAUACUUAUAUAAAUACAACUUAUUUUAGCAUAAGAUGUCUAAUACAAUCUGUUCAAUAGCACAUUAUGUUGCUAAGGGAUUUGAGACUAUCAUUCUUAUCUUCACUUGGGUGAAUAUUGUUAGACAUUGCAGUAGGCUGUGAACAACUGUGAGACCAUGAAGUGAAGAAGAUAAAUAAAUAGUAGCAGUUCUUAUCUAUUAUGAAAAAAAGAGAUCACUAAAUAGGAGUGAUAUGUUGAGAUCUAGGGAUGCCCAAUGUUAUUGAAGCUGCUGUUAGCAUUUUUCUUGAUUCGAUGUGAGAGAAAAGCAGCUGAUUGGGAGAAACUGAAUGGCAGAUCUGCUUGCUGCUAUAUGAAGUUGAUUUCUCGUUGAUAUGUUUGAUUUUGAUUUUUUUUUUGGUCCUUAAUUUUACUUGAUAUUUGAAGUCAACCUUGAAAAAUAAAGAACAUAAAGUUCUUGAUACCUCAACGAGAAAUCUCAAGAUCUUGCUUAUCUCAAUUGAGAAAUGUACCUUUGCAACUGUUAGCUUCAAGUCCUGCUUUCUGAUUAUGUAUUAAAACAAUGCUGACAAGCAUUUUAUUUCACUUUGUUGCUGCAGGGACCUGAGAUUCGAACUGGUUUUCUAAAGGAUGCAAAGCCUAUCCAACUUAAGGAAGGUGAGGAAAUCACCAUUAGUACUGAUUACAGCAUCAAGGGGGAUGAGAAGAUGAUCUCCAUGAGCUACAAAAAACUGCCUGUGGACUUGAAGCCUGGAAACACCAUCCUGUGUGCAGAUGGCACCAUCACUCUCACUGUCUUGUCUUGUGAUCUGGGUGCUGGAACGGUAAGAUGCCGUUGCGAGAACACUGCAACUCUAGGUGAGAGAAAGAAUGUCAAUCUUCCUGGUGUGGUGGUGGAUCUUCCCACACUAACAGAGAAGGACAAGGAAGACAUUCUGGGAUGGGGUGUUCCCAACAAUAUUGACAUGAUUGCCCUUUCAUUUGUACGCAAGGGCUCAGAUCUUGUUAAUGUCCGAAAGGUGCUCGGGUCUCAUGCCAAGCGUAUACAGUUAAUGUCAAAGGUACAUGAAUAUCUUCCAUUGUUCUGUUGUUUACAAAAUAAUUAGUGGAAAUUUUUUCUCUAAUGCAUGUGCAAAAAUGUUCCUUUUUCACAUUACAUUCAUGAGAGUCGGGGGGAAUUUAUCAUUUACAUGAGCUAUAAAAACAGUCAAUUACCUAAUGAAAUUUAUCUUUGCCUCUUGCCUCAAGGGAGGUCCUUCAAUCCAAUGAUUAGGAUCAUUCUUUGAGUUGUUUAUUUUGUUUUUUGAGUGUAAGUUUGGACAGUUAAUCCAUAAAACUUGCCUUUUCAAUUCCCAAAAACGAUUGCCAUUUUAGGAAAAGUAGCAGCAUGGCAAGGAAAUUAAAAAAAAAGAAAAAAAAAAGCUUUCUUCUACUUCUGAAAGAAAUAACUUUUGGCUUAAAUGGCAGCUUAUUUCAUGUGUUGCUUGUAGAUGAGUGUAUGUGAGAAUGAGCCCCAUGCACACUCAGCUUAUUUCAUGGUUGGUUGUGCAAUUUGCUUACAUGUUUCUUUGAUAAAUAUGUCAUAGCCUCAUGGCAUCUUCCUUUCUGUGGCUGUAAUUCCUGAAGGUGGAGAACCAGGAGGGUGUUAUCAACUUUGAUGAAAUACUGCGUGAGACCGAUUCAUUUAUGGUUGCCCGUGGUGAUCUUGGAAUGGAGAUCCCAGUGGAGAAGAUCUUCCUGGCACAAAAAAUGAUGAUAUACAAGUGCAAUCUUGUAGGAAAGCCUGUGGUCACUGCUACUCAGAUGCUUGAAUCCAUGAUCAAGUCUCCCCGUCCAACCCGUGCUGAAGCAACGGAUGUAGCUAAUGCAGUUCUUGAUGGGACUGACUGUGUGAUGCUGAGUGGAGAGAGUGCAGCAGGAGCCUAUCCAGAGAUUGCUGUGAAGAUCAUGGCCCGAAUCUGUAUCGAGGCAGAAUCCUCACUGGACUAUGCAGCUAUCUUCAAGGAGAUGAUUCGGUCAACCCCACUUCCAAUGAGCCCAUUGGAGAGCCUUGCAUCAUCAGCUGUUGGAACCGCCAACAAGGCCAAAGCAAAACUGAUUGUCGUGAUGACGCGUGGUGGGACCACAGCCAAGUUGGUGGCCAAGUACAGGCCAGCCGUCCCCAUCCUCUCAGUGGUCGUCCCACUCUUAACAACAGAUUCCUUCGACUGGACCUGCAGCGAUGAGGCCCCAGCAAGGCAUAGCCUGAUAUACAGGGGCUUGAUCCCGAUACUGGCAGAAGGGUCUGCAAAGGCGACAGAUGCGGAAUCCACGGAGGUGAUCCUGGAAGCUGCCCUGAAGUCGGCAACAGGGAAGGGGCUCUGCAAGCCUGGAGAUGCAGUUGUGGUACUUCACCGCAUUGGGGUUGCCUCUGUUAUCAAGAUCUGCAUAGUGAAAUGAUGAACAAACGCUAGGGAAUACCACGAGUGGUGGCCUGAUGGAUUCAGAAGGGCAUUUGGACCAAGUUGAAGCUAUCUUGUUUUUGGUUUCUUAGUCAUACGUACUCAGCUAGUUUUCAUUG